rnacentral:rRNA from 1 species
AUACGGAGGGUGCGAGCGUUAAUCGGAAUUACUGGGCGUGAAGGGUGCGUAGGCGGCUUGAUAAGUCGGAUGUGAAAGCCCCGGGCUUAACCUGGGAAUUGCAUUCGAUACUGUCAGGCUAGAGUAUGUCAGAGGUUGGCGGAAUUCCUGGUGUAGCGGUGAAAUGCGUAGAUAUCAGGAGGAACACCAGUGGCGAAGGCGGCUAACUGGGACAACACUGACGCUGAGGCACGAAAGCGUGGGGAGCAAACAGGAUUAGAUACCCUAGUAGUCC